rnacentral:rRNA from 1 species
UACGAAGGGUGCAAGCGUUACUCGGAAUUACUGGGCGUAAAGCGUGCGUAGGUGGUUCGUUAAGUCUGAUGUGAAAGCCCUGGGCUCAACCUGGGAAUGGCAUUGGAUACUGGCGACCUAGAGUGCGGUAGAGGGGUGUGGAAUUCCCGGUGUAGCAGUGAAAUGCGUAGAUAUCGGGAGGAGCAUCUGUGGCGAAGGCGGGUCUCUGGACAGUUCCUGACACUGAGGCACGAAGGCCAGGGGAGCAAACGGG